AUUGAACGCUGGCGGCAUGCUUUACACAUGCAAGUCGAACGGUAACAGGCCGCAAGGUGCUGACGGGUGGCGAACGGGUGAGUAAUGCAUCGGAACGUGCCCAGUCGUGGGGGAUAACGCAGCGAAAGCUGCGCUAAUACCGCAUACGAUCUAUGGAUGAAAGCGGGGGACCGUAAGGCCUCGCGCGAUUGGAGCGGCCGAUGUCAGAUUAGGUAGUUGGUGGGGUAAAGGCUCACCAAGCCAACGAUCUGUAGCUGGUCUGAGAGGACGACCAGCCACACUGGGACUGAGACACGGCCCAGACUCCUACGGGAGGCAGCAGUGGGGAAUUUUGGACAAUGGGCGCAAGCCUGAUCCAGCAAUGCCGCGUACAGGAAGAAGGCCUUCGGGUUGUAAACUGCUUUUGUACGGAACGAAACGGUCCUGGUUAAUACCUGGGGCUAAUGACGGUACCGUAAGAAUAAGCACCGGCUAACUACGUGCCAGCCGCCGCAGUAACAC
rnacentral:rRNA from 1 species